GGAUUUUUCCGCCUAGAGAGAAGCUUGCGGCUGAUUAGCUUGUUGGUGAGGUAAUGGCUUACCAAGGCGACGAUCAGUAUCUGGUUUGAGAGGACGAUCAGACACACUGGAACUGAGACACGGUCCAGACUCCUACGGGAGGCAGCAGUGGGGAAUUUUCCGCAAUGGGCGAAAGCCUGACGGAGCAAUCUCGCGUGAGGGAUGACUGCCUAUGGGUUGUAAACCUCUUUUUUCAGGGAGGAAUCAAUGACGUGUACCUGAAGAAUAAGCAUCGGCUAACUCCGUGCCAGCAGCCGCGGUAAGACGGAGGAUGCAAGUGUUAUCCGGAAUCACUGGGCGUAAAGCGUCUGUAGGUGGUUUAAUAAUUCAACUGUUAAAUCUUGAAGCUCAACUUCAAAAUCG
rnacentral:rRNA from 1 species